UACAGAGGUCUCAAGCGUUGUUCGGAUUCAUUGGGCGUAAAGGGUGCGUAGGUGGCGCCGUAAGUCAGGUGUGAAAUUUCGGAGCUUAACUCCGAAACUGCAUUUGAUACUGCGGUGCUUGGGGACUGGAGAGGAGACUGGAAUUUACGGUGUAGCAGUGAAAUGCGUAGAGAUCGUAAGGAAGACCAGUGGCGAAGGCGGGGCUCUGGACAGUUCCUGGCACUGAGGCACGAAGGCCAGGGGAGCAAACGGG
rnacentral:rRNA from 1 species